AGGAAGGCCGAGUCCGAGGCGGGGCGGGGGGGCGGGCUGGAGGCCCGACGCUGCCCCGCCACGCGGGCGCCUGGAAGCCGGUUAUCUGCUCGCUAGGUUAACGGCAGCCGCCAAGGCCUCUACCCCUCGAGGUCACCUCUCCUCUAGGCUGCCGGCCAGGGCGUCCUCGUCCCUAACCCCAAGCCGAGGUCCGCGAGCGUCGUGGGACGCUUGCGGCCGGAGGCGCAUCCUGCGACCCCCGGGGAUGCCGAGUGGGCCUCCGGAGCGUGGCCAUCCCGAGAGACGCCCUUCUGCCCAGAGUCCCCGGCUGGACGCGAGCCCCCCGGAUGCGCCCUGCCGCCGCCUCCGCGGUGACCUUGUCUCUGCGUCAGUGUCGCGGAGAAACAGCGACAGACCCGCUGGAGAUGUGACAGCAGAGGAAGGCCUUUGAUAGCAAGCAAACCCCUGCCUCUGGGAGAGUCCAGCUUUCGCCCGGCUGAACGCCGGGGCUUCCAGAGGAGCGGUUCUGUCCCGUAGAGCAGUCACCUGUUGUCAACCGGGAGCCCAUUCUUGCGUGCUCGGAACAGGCGAAGUUGUAAGGCGGAGUACGCGCUCAAAAAGGCGGGGCUUUUAGCCUAAAAGCAAGCCUCUUUACGUUUAGAAAAGACGAAUUUCCCACAAUGACCUACCACCCACCUCGUGGCGCUCAGGAGUGCGGCUCGCUGGAGACCGCGGUGGAGGACGCUACUUGAAAAGUUGCUGAGGAAAGGGGACAAAAGCAUUUGUCAACGUAGGGCAGGUAGAGAAGGGAAGCUUUGUGAAAUAUUAGACGCCCAGCAGAGCGGAAGAAAACCUUGGACUCUUCAGUGCUAGAUUUUUGCCACCCUGAACUACUUGCAGCUUUAAUGCAUGCUAGCAGAGAUAAGAAAGUAAAAACCCGGUAUGUAGACGAGAGGCUGGCCAGCCCUGGUGGUCUGGUGGUUAAGAUUCAGUGCUUUUGUCACCAUGGCCUGGAUUCAUUUCCCGUCAGGGAACCAUACCACCCGUUGAAUCACGCCAUACAUCUGUUGGUUGUCAUACUAUGGCAGCUGCUUAUUGCUGUGAUGCUGAAAGCUUUGCCACCAGGAUUCACAUACCAGCACGGUCACCCAUGGUGCACAGGUUUCAGUGGAGUUUCCAGACCAGACAGACUAGGAAGGAGGACCUGGCCACCCACUUCCAAAGAAAUUGGCCGUGAAAACCCUAUGAAUAACAGCAGAACCUUGUCUGAUAUAGGGCCAGAAGGAGAGAGGAUGGCACAAAAAGACAGGGCAGGGUUCCGCUAGGAGUCAGAAUCGAUUGGAUGGCACUAACAACAAAGAUGAGAUGCCAGAGGAACACCAGCGUGGUAAAGAUGUCAAUAAUAAUUCAUAGAGUGUAAGAACUGCUUUUUAAGUACUUUAUUAAUCAUUUUAAUUAUUAAGAAGAAAUUUGAAAUUAGUCCCAGAAUUAAGUCCAAUGACUAUUAUAUAAGGCCCUUCAAAACAAUCACGCCCCACUUUACAAGAGAUUAGAAGGUUACUGGAUUAAAAUAAAACAGCACCUCCUAUGACGAGGAGGGUUCAUUCUAGCAACUGUUUGGGACAGGGACUAAAUUCUGAAGACUAAAUUCCAUUACUUUGAAAUGGCAGCUGUCAAAUCUCAGUUGUGCACAUGAUUGUUAGAAAAAGGCGAAAUCAAGGUGAGCCAAACUGAAAACACAUGUCGAGAGCUAGGUAAAAAGCAUCAGGUUGGAUUGACUCAUGAUGAGAUGGGCAACUGAUCGAUCAGACCAAAAAGAGGAAACGCAAGACCGUUAACACGGAGCAGGGAGUGUCAGUGCUUUAAGGGGGUCGGGUGCUCUGGAAUCCUAAAUCAGGUUGUUGGAAAGGGGGUUAGGGGUGGAGAGAAGGAGAGAAUGGGAGGGAAAAGGUAAGAGGGUAGAAGGCUGUAUACACACACACACACACACACAUACACACAGUUGGCCUUCCCUAUCCGUGGGUUCCUCAUUGGUGGAUUCAACUGAUGCAGAUGGAAAGGUCUGUUAUAGUUGCAUCUGUACUGAACACAUACAGACUUUUUUUCCUUGUCCUUAUUCCCUAAACAAUACAGUAAAACAACUAUUUACAUAGCAUUUACAUUUUAUUAGGUAUUAUAAGUAGUCUAGUGGUGAUUUAAAGUAUAUGGGAGGAUGUGUGUGGGUUAUAUGCAAAUACUAUGCCAUUUUAUAGAAGGGACUUGAGCAUACCUGGUAUACUUGAGCAUACUUUUGGUAUCUGCGGGGGUCCUAGAACCAAUCUCUGGUGGGUAUCAAGGGACAACUGUACGUAUGUGUAUAUAUCCACCCAGCCCCCUUCAAGCCCAUAAGAACUACAGCAAGAGAGAAGCCAGGCAUGAGGAAAAGAGAGAGAUUGUCAUUAUCAAUAUAUUUCAUAUUGGAAAAGGGCUCUGCCAUUUUUUUGCUCUGUGACUUUAGCCUCCCUCUCAGCCCACUUUUCUUUAGCUGUAGAAGAGAGAUCAUAAUAGCGACCGCAUAAGGUAUUUUCAAAGAAUAAAUUAAUAAAAAUGUAAAGGCUUUGGUACAGUAUUUUCAAAGAAUAAAUUAAUAAAGAUGUAAAGGCUUUGGUACAGUAUGUAACACUAAGCGCUCAAUAAAUAUUAGCUAUCAUUACUUUAUUAGCCAGUUUAUAUCAUAUUCAUAAUAUAGUAGAAGAGGUAGUAGACACAUUUAGAAAUCAUCUAGGAAAGUUUAACCCCCGAGUACAUGUACUUCUUACAUUUUGAACUUAACGACAUGUAAAAAUCCUAUCCACGAGAGCCAGUUGUACACCACCAAAUGUAACGGCCCUUCAGUCUGAUGAAGAUUCUCAUCUUGACCAAACUCUAGCCAGGCUCCUCUGAGCCCUUUUCUCACCUUGACCUUUAAAGACUGGAACGAAGGGCAAACAUAGUUUCUAAUACCUCAAGGCCGCAUCCCUAGGAUGACCCUAGCCCCCUUAGAGUGCCUGCCUGAGCAAACUCAAAGCUGCCAGAAGAAUCUGCAGCUUGUUCCAGCCAACACCUAAAGAAAGGGCCCGUCUCCCAGUUGCUGUGGGAGGGUAGGAGCUUCGAUAAGCAACAGUUAACAAACCCAAUGGGUUUCACAUGGCCCAACCCUGACUUCGCACUUUUUAUAAUUGAUCACUUCCCUGACUCUGCCGCACCCCAUUCACCCCCCUCCCUAUUCUUGCAUUCUCCCUUUAAAAAGCCCAAUCACUUCUCUAUAAAUCAAAGUUGAGUUCAGUUCAUGCGGGACUCUUUUCCCUAUUGCAAUAGUAUAUACAGUAGUCUCCCAUUAUCUGCAGUUUCAGUUACCCAAGGUCAACCAUGGUCUGAAAAUAUUAAAUGGAAAAUUCCAGAAAUAAACAACUCAUGUUUUAAAUUGCAUGCCAUUCUGAGUAGGGUGAUGAAGUCUUGUGCAAUCUCGUGCCGUCUUGCUCCAUCCCCUGCCCAGGACAUGAAUCAUCUCUUUGUCCAGCAUAUUCAUGCUGUAUAUGCUACUAACUUGUUAGUCACCUAGUAGCCAUCUGGGUCAUCAGACCAAUCGUUGUCGUAUCGCAGUGCUUGUGUUCAAGUAACCCUUAUUUUACUUAAUGGGCCCAAAGUACAAGAAUAUUGAUGGUGGCAAUUUCGCUAUGUGAAAGAGCAGCCAUAAAGUGCUUCCCUUAAGUGAAAAAGUGAAAGUUCUCAACUUAACAAGGAAAGGAAAAAAAUCACAUGCUGACGUUGCUAAAAUCUACUGUAACUCUUAUUACAGUAUAUGGUUAUAAUUGUUCUAUUUUGUUAUUAGUUGUUAAUCUCUUACUAUGCCUAAUUUACAAAUUAAACUUUAUCAUAGGUAUAUAUCUAUAGGAAAACACAUAUAUUAGGUUCGGUACUAUUCGUGGUUUCAGGCAUCCACUGGGGGCCUUGGAACGCAUCCCCGCAGAUAAGGGAUAAGGAGGGACUACUGUAUUUGAUUAAAUUCUGUUCUUACCACUUUCA